rnacentral:rRNA from 1 species
UACGAAGGGGGCUAGCGUUGCUCGGAAUCACUGGGCGUAAAGGGUGCAUAGGCGGGUCUUUAAGUCAGGGGUGAAAUCCUGGAGCUCAACUCCAGAACUGCCUUUGAUACUGAAGAUCUUGAGUUCGGGAGAGGUGAGUGGAACUGCGAGUGUAGAGGUGAAAUGCGCAGAUAUCAGGAAGAACACCCGUGGCUAAGGCGGUUCUCUAGUACGGUACUGACGCUGAGACGCGAAAGCGUGGGGAGCGAACAGG